GGGACCUUCUAUUCAUCAUUAAACAUUAUUAGUAGAAAAAAAUUCUCUAAUUCUAUCAUUGUUAAUUAAUCUGCAAAGGAAUAAAUGAUACUAUCCAAUUAUCAAAUUUGUAAACUUGCUCAUCCAAAACAUUGAACAACAAAACCUUUUUCUCCCCUUCCUAUCAUGGGUUUCUAUCAAAUCAUAACUGAAGGGCCCCCCAGCUCCGGACAAAACCAGCUGAUUCAGAUUUUUCUACAGAUAUUUAUACUAUAUAUGUAGUUUUCUACAGGGUAGAUUAAUUCAUAAUUUUCUACAUUAUAUAAAAACAGAAUGAAGGUUUGCAGGAGUUUUUCCUGUUCAAUAGCUCCAAAUUUGUCCUGGAAACUGAAUGAAUGAAGACCCACCAUUUCAGGUCCGGUCAGGUUCUACUAACUGCCAUCUUUGCCCUGCAGCCUGGAUCACUAAGUAGCCAAAAUGGAAAACAAGUGAAAUAAAUAGCAGGAAAAGUCAGAAUUGAAUUCAACAGAGAGAAGGUUCUACUGAUCCAGGGCACUGGCACGACAGGAGAGCCCCUGGAAAGGAUAGGGGCUCGAGGAACUGCAAUUAUCUACCAAUGUAAUCGUGGCAGUAAAAGGUUGCGAUUUCGAUCCAGGGCCCACUUAUUCAUUUAUCUCCACGUGGCAUAAAUCUGUCUGCCUGUCGACAGAGUACAAGGACGAGAAAACAGACACUGUACCAUAAGAUUUAGACUUUGCUGGCUAAAAAAGACGAAAAGAAGUAAAAAUAAAAAAUUUUAUUUCAAUGAUUUUCUUUCUUUUAAUUCAUCCUGUGUGCCUUACCUGGAGUUAAUAUUAAUUUGGUAAGAGAGGGACGGUUUCAUUUCUCUUACAGAACUAAAAAACAACAACAACAACUACUACUACAAACAAAGCGCAAUCUUCACGUGUCUUUCCCCUUUCUGUUGCGUACUGUUUUGUUCUCCUCUGGUUUUUCCUUUCUUUUUCUUGUCUUCUUUCUCUUUCCGUUUUGUUUCUUUCCUUUCUCUUGACGGUGCUUCUUUAUAUCGCUUUGUUAGAGACUAUGAAAAGAUUAUUAUAACUUAUAAGAUUAACGAGAGAGAAAAGAGAAGUCUAAUCUGUUGAGAGAAUGGAAGGAAGGAAAGGAGUGGGAUCGUCGUCUUCUACCUUUACUUCAGAGCUCUUUGGUUCAAAAGAGUCUCCUUCAUCUUCCACAGGAAUUUUCGGGUCUAUAUUUGCCCCUUCGUCUAAGGUAAUAGGAAGGGAGUCUCUGCGUCCUGAUGUGAUGGCCAAAAGGCAGAAUUCUCCGAAUGAGCCCUGGAACACAAAGCCCGGAGCCUCUGGUAACUUUUCCAAAGGACAUGAAGGUGAAAAGCAGAACAUAGCAAAUAGAGACGUGAGUUCCAUUUAUGAGGAGCAAAGAGUACAACCAUGUCAUCUAAGUUCAUCAAUCUACUACGGUGGCCAAGAUGUAUACUUCUAUCCCCAGAGUAGCCAGGCCUCUGGAUUAAACUCUGUGUACAAGAAGGAUGGUGGAGAAGAUGAUUCAGGGAGUGCAUCAAGAGGAAACUGGUGGCAAGGGUCUCUCUAUUACUGAGAGUUUGCUUGCCAAUCCACAUACUAAUAAAGGUACCUUUGGGUCAGAUUUUCUCUGGAAUUAUUAUCAGGUACAUAGGAAGAUAUAGAUAGCAGUAUAAUCUCUCUGUAUAUGGGAGAUGGAUUAUUACAGUAGUCAGACGUUGCAGACCGCUGGCGGUCAUUACUUUCUCCAGCCAAGUAGAGAUAGUUAUUUGGUCUCCCUUCUUCACCAUAAAGGAUAAUGAGACUUGCUCUCUUUUUGCUGUAAAGAUUUGAUAAAUUAUGAUGAAUUUCUGCUUGACUGUCUGGUAUCUAUUGCAGAACUCUGCCCACUUGGGGAAGUUAAGCCUUUGGUUCGCUUUGAAUAAGUCAAGAAAAUGAAUCAGACUGUACAUGUUUUUCCCUUUAAUAAUCACUCUUUGUCUUUGAGAUACCUGAAAGAAC